rnacentral:rRNA from 1 species
GACGAACGCUGGCGGCGCGCUUAACACAUGCAAGUCGAACGGAAAGGCCUGCUUUCCCUUGUGGAUUGCGGGUACUCGAGUGGCGAACGGGUGAGUAACACGUGAGUGAUCUGCCCCCAACUUGGGUAUAAGCCUGGGAAACUGGGUCUAAUUCCCGAUAGGACUGCAGGGUGGUGCCUGUUGUGGAAAACGAUUUUCUAGUGGUUGGGGAUGAGCUCGCGGCCUAUCAGCUUGUUGGUGGGGUAAUGGCCUACCAAGGCGGCGACGGGUAGCCGGCCUGAGAGGGUGGACGGCCACAGUGGGACUGAGAUACGGCCCAGACUCCUACGGGAGGCAGCAGUGGGGAAUAUUGCACAAUGGGCGGAAGCCUGAUGCAGCGACGCCGCGUGGGGGAUGACGGCCUUCGGGUUGUAAACUCCUUUCGACCGCGAGGAAGCCACCUGGUUGGAAGGGUGGUGACGGUAGUGGUAGAAGAAGCACCGGCUAACUACGUG